AGUGAACGCUGGCGGUAGGCCUAACACAUGCAAGUCGAACGGCAGCACAGGAGAGCUUGCUCUCUGGGUGGCGAGUGGCGGACGGGUGAGGAAUACAUCGGAAUCUGCCCAGUCGUGGGGGAUAACGUAGGGAAACUUACGCUAAUACCGCAUACGACCUUCGGGUGAAAGAGGGGGAUCGCAAGACCUCUCGCGAUUGGAUGAGCCGAUGUCGGAUUAGCUAGUUGGCGGGGUAAUGGCCCACCAAGGCGACGAUCCGUAGCUGGUCUGAGAGGAUGAUCAGCCACACUGGAACUGAGACACGGUCCAGACUCCUACGGGAGGCAGCAGUGGGGAAUAUUGGACAAAGGGCGCAAGCCUGAUCCAGCCCUACCGCGUGGGUGAAGAAGGCCUUCGGGUUGUAAAGCCCUUUUGUUGGGAAAGAAAUCUUUCAGGCUAAUACCCUGGGAGGAUGACGGUACCCAAAGAAUAAGCACCGGCUAACUUCGUG
rnacentral:rRNA from 1 species